GUAGUCCGCGCCGUAAACGAUGGACGCUCGAUGUUGCACCGCUUCAGGUGCAGUGUCUAAGCUAACGCGUUAAGCGUCCCACCUGGGGAGUACGAUCGCAAGGUUGAAACUCAAAGGAAUUGACGGGGGCCCGCACAAGCGGUGGAGCAUGUGGAUUAAUUCGAUGCAACGCGAAGAACCUUACCCAGGCUCGAACGUUACCGGACAGCCCCUGAAAGGGGGUCUCCUUCGGGCUGGUAGCGAGGUGCUGCAUGGCUGUCGUCAGUUCGUGUCGUGAGAUGUUGGGUUAAGUCCCGCAACGAACGCAACCCCUAUCGCUAGUUACCAGCGGGUUAUGCCGGGGACUCUAGCGAGACUGCCUGCGCAAGCAGUGA
rnacentral:rRNA from 1 species